UCUGCGAAUUGGUCUGUUUGCCUGCUGGUUGGAGUUCGUGCCUGGUCUAGUUCAAACGCGAGGUUUCUUGCUGAAGAGAGCUGUUGGUCAGGUAGCAAGGUAGACUUUGUGUCUAUUGACCAAUCCAUUAUCUCGGCCGCUGUUUUCAAGGCAGGAGAAUCAUAGGAAAGGCCGUUCAGACAGGCAUCUUCAUUGAGAGUGAGUCCCUGAAAGUGAUCCAUCUACAUUCCCUACUUGGAUUCGCUUAUUACCUCACUUAGGACUCCUUUCAGUGAUGAAAACCAACCUGCUUACAGUUUGCUGAAGCAACAUCCAUCUGAGAAGUACCACCCUGAAGAAACAGACUUUCAAGCCCAUGUCAGUGCCAUUCAGGAAUGAUACAAAUUGGAAAACUUUGGGGAUGAGUCUGUUACGUGGCAUGAGUUGUGGGCAAGAAGACAUACCAAAGAAACGUGACGUGCAACAUGAACCUUACUGAACUGUUGGACCCCACCAAACUGUCCUCUGCUGUUAAAAUGGCCAUCCUGACAGCACUUUCCCUCCCAGUUACAACAUGCACAACUGAACAGUCCUUUAGCACUUUGCAUAAGGUGAAGACACGGCUACAUCAAUGAGUGAAGAUCGAAUGACAGGCUUGUGUUUGCUGAGUGUCCAUAGAGAAACAUUGACGACCUUUCUCAAGGAGAAAUUUAUAAAAUAAGUUAUUGACCAUUUGUUUAAAGAAUGGCUCAUUUUGUAUUGUUUUCUGUCAUGGACAGACAAGCACUAACAAAAGGUUUCUGUCAUGUUAUGGACAUACAAACACCAAUAAAAAUGGUCUGACUGGUUUCAGACCUUAUGUCUGGAAUUCUACACCACAGCCAUGGAAGAUUCUGUGGAAAAGAUAUAACCCAUAAAGUGGUUUAAUCUGCUUUAGAGUACUAGAGUCCUAUAUCAUUGUUGUUCAGUGGACAAAUGCAUGUCUUUCUAGUGCCUUACUCUGUUAUUGUUAAAUGGGCAAAUAAAGCAAUUUGUUAGAAGUUAGUCCUGAAAUGUAUUCUGAAAUGUAUAAUCCCAGUUAAUUACCAACAACAGUUAAUUACCAACAGGCACAAGCCGCCAUGGUUUCUCAUUCCUUCUCUUCAGCAUUGUGUAUCAGAAUCAAAAUGUUUAUUGCGGUCAAGUGACCCAUACAGAAAAUAUGGAAUACAAGAAUAAAAUAGUAUACAGUGAUAUAAAUGUUAAAAGAAACCAAAUACAAUAUGAGAGCAAAGUAAAAUCUAUAGUAGGACUUUCAGAACAAAGAUUUGGAUCGGUUGGAUUGGGCUGCAUGAACAAAUUUAGCUACUGAGAUUGUAAGGGACCUAUCUGAGCCUGCCAAGAGAAAGAGUAACAGACACUCGGGAGAUUUGUUAGAGAACUUUUUAGUAAUUGGUAAUAUAUAUCGAUAGCGUUCCGACGAAUACAAUGGGCAGACAAAAAAUACAUGUAGAAGGGUUUCUAUAGUACCCGCUUCACAGGGACAAAUACGUUGGUCAUAAGCUAUUCCCUGGUAUCUCCCUUCCAACAGUGCUGAGGUUAGGCAGUUGAAUCUGGCCUUGGCAAAUGCUUGCCGAUAUUUAGGAACCGUUAGAAAAUCUAAGUAUAGGGCGUGAUUCAAUGGGACAAAGCUCAAUUUAUGGUGCAGGGGUGAGCAGACUUUAGAUGCCGCAUAGAUGGAGCUUUGGAGAUCUAUAUCCCUAAGUCGGGUUCUUAUAGUGUGAUUGGCCAUUACAAAAUCUUGAGUAGAUAAAUAUUCUAAAGAGAGGCCUAACCUGGGAAGUUUAACAUGAAAGGAUUUCAUCCAUGUGGAAAGGUAAGAGUCAUUCCAGAGAAGUGCUAGAUACCCAGGUGGACAGUCAUAGGAUAGUUUAAGCCAAUAGUUGAAGGCAAUAGACCAAGCUUGGCAUUCCAUCGAGGUUAGACCAGCUUCUAACCUAAGGGCGGCAUUCGGGACACAACUAGGGACACCAAAGAUUUGUCGUAAAAAAAUUGAAAGUACAGAUUCUACUGUAGUAUUAUAAGUGCAAAUCCAAAGAGGAGCACCAUAUAGUAGUUGAGGGAUGAUCUUGGAUCUAAAAACCUGUAAAGCUGCAGGAAUAAAUUGUC